rnacentral:rRNA from 1 species
UACGAAGGGGGCUAGCGUUGCUCGGAAUUACUGGGCGUAAAGCGCACGUAGGCGGCUUUCUAAGUCGGGGGUGAAAUCCUGGAGCUCAACUCCAGAACUGCCUUCGAUACUGGAGAGCUCGAGUCCGGGAGAGGUGAGUGGAACUGCGAGUGUAGAGGUGAAAUUCGUAGAUAUUCGCAAGAACACCAGUGGCGAAGGCGGCCAUCUGGACCGGUUCUGACGCUGAGGCGCGAAAGCGUGGGGAGCAAACAGG